AUUGGACAAGUUCCAAUUAACCUUCCAACAAUGUUGGCGUAAUAACUGAGAUUUUUUUGAUUUAUUGAUUAAACCCUUUUGUUUGAUGAUGUUCUUGUGUGUAAUAUAAUUAUAAGUGUACUCGUCAAAUUUCAGGAGAAAACGAGUUAAAACGGAGAAGUUACGCGACCCGGAAGUUUGACUUAAGUGAAUAGUAACUCCGGUUUUCCGGAGAGGCCGCGGAGUAGAGUGGACUUUCGACGCGUAUCGGACUCCGAAUAUAGCCUUCCAAUAGCUCGUUUUCAACCGCUCGACUAUCCUGGACCCAAUGGCACUGACGGAAUUGGAUUUGGAUGCACGGAUUUCGAGAAAAAGGGGUUUAAUGGUUUUUACAUAUAGUUGUCUAUAUGUGGUUUUUGGUGGAACCUAGGAGGGAU
rnacentral:lncRNA from 1 species